rnacentral:misc_RNA from 1 species
GGAAAAUGGCCAAUCGGAUUGGUCUCAAUUUCCACCGGCGGCUUCCGAUUUCCUCAGGCCUUCCUUCCGCCGUGUGGCCCGCGAACAGUGCGGCGAAUAGCCUUAAACCGUGGAGCGCCGGAGGAAAACCACGGCGGCGUUUGAUUUUAGGCCUCGGAAUUUCUUUCUCGGCUCAGUUCAUGAAUAUGUCCGGUUCAUUGGUCGGCGCCAAAUCCUUCGUUGCCUCUGCGAGACAGAAAAAUGCUGUCGAAGAGAUUUGAAGAACGUGGAGUGGCCAGAGAAAU